CCCUAUCCGGAACCCAGGUAGCUCAGCUCGUCGUCCCCAUCUUCCCUGGCUUCUCUGUUCGUAGCUUGGAGCAACUCGCCGUUGGGUCGCCACUUGCCGUCGCCUCGCCUAUCGCUGUCGUCUCGCCGGUUGCCAUCCGUGUCUUCGUCGAAGAAGGUUCAGUGUUGGCUUCAACUUUCAAAUGGGAAUUGGGCGCUGGUGAAGAUAAUAACAUCUUUUGGAACGGAGUCUGUUGUUUCACUGCCUGAUAGAAAAGUAAGAUAUGAUC